rnacentral:misc_RNA from 1 species
GGAAAUAGCACCGGGCGCCGCCACAGUAGCUGUAACUGCCACCGCGAUGCCGAAGGCGCCCAAGCAGCAGCCGCCGGAGCCCGAGUGGAUCGGGGACGGAGAGAGCACGAGCCCAUCAGUUCUUUGAAGAGCUGGCAGUAGAAGAUAAACAGGCUGGGGAAGAAGAGAAAGUGCUCAAGGAGAAGGAGCAGCAGCAGCAGCAACAGCAACAGCAGCAAAAAAAAAAGCGAGAUACCCGAAAAGGCAGGCGGAAGAAGGAUGUGGAUGAUGAUGGAGAAGAGAAAGAGCUCAUGGAGCGUCUUAAGAAGCUCUCAGUGCCAACCAGUGAUGAGGAGGAUGAAGUACCCGCCCCAAAACCCCGCGGAGGGAAGAAAACCAAGGGUGGUAAUGUUUUUGCAGCCCUGAUUCAGGAUCAGAGUGAGGAAGAGGAGGAGGAAGAAAAACAUCCUCCUAAGCCUGCCAAGCCGGAGAAGAAUCGGAUCAAUAAGGCCGUAUCUGAGGAACAGCAGCCUGCACUCAAGGGCAAAAAGGGAAAGGAAGAGAAGUCAAAAGGGAAGGCUAAGCCUCAAAAUAAAUUCGCUGCUCUGGACAAUGAAGAGGAGGAUA